GUGGCAUUUGUCAUAGAGUCAGUCUGGUAACACUGCUUGUAAACCUUGAUCAGUGUUCUAUCAUCUGUUUGUAAACAAUCCUUGUCGUCCCCGAUAUCAAGAGGAAAGAAAAGGCACCAUUUGUUACCCUCUGAAGAACAUGAUAGACUUACUGCAAAUAUGGUCAGUAAUUUCCUCCUUCAACUCUUGCAGGUUUGCACAACCCCAUUACUAUAUGAUACCUAACCUGCAACAUAUGAAAAGAUGGAAGACGAGGAGACCGUCAGUCCACUUCUCAGGCACCAGCAAUCUCGCUGCUCAGAAACCCUGAGAUUUUUUGUCGCUAGGGCACACUAUAGUAUGUCAAGUGUACUUGGUCAAAAGAGUGUAUGAAGGGUGAAGCGCCAAUGCCAAACUUGCUUUCCUUAUUAUGCGAAUUGGCUUUUAGAGACUUCCUUAUGAUUCUUUGAAAGACCACUUUACGUAAAUGAGAAAAUCAGAUAUGUAGGUAAUAACUGACAGCAAUUGAUGCUGUACUAGUGGCAGUUGGGAGCAUCUUUUAGUUCCCUGGAAAAAGUCAACACAAAUUAUGCCCCAUAGGAAACUGGCCUUUUGGACGUGCUUAGAAGAGAACAGCUGAUAAGGAUAUUAUUUCAGAAGUUGACCAGCACCAUUAAUUUGAUUCUAAUCCAAGCCCAGAGGGGAAAAACCUUUAUUGCAGUAUUUUAAAUGUUGACAAAAUGGUUUGAAAUGUAUAGGAUGCAGAUCUGGACAGAUCUGCAAGGAAAGCAUAUGUAACCAGUCUCAAGAACUGACUUAAGUGGCCAGUGGCCUUUAAAAGCCAAAAAAAUUUCUGUAUUAUUUUCAAAAUAUAGUACUGUUCUGUACCUCAAAAUCCUCAUAAAAAUGGAAUUUUUGUCUUGCAUUUGAUAUUCUAUAUUUUUCCAAAAUUUACCUCUCUUUAUGUACAUGAGGCCUUGAAAAGUCUUAAAUAAAAAUUGAUACAUGACCAGUAGGUUAGGGAGCACUCGUAUUUUUUAAGAAAUUUAUUUAACAAAAAUAAGAGAUCAUUGCUUUACAUAGUGUAAUCAGAAUUUAACAU